rnacentral:tRNA from 1 species
GGCGGACGUAGCCAAGUGGUCCAAAGGCAGU